rnacentral:rRNA from 1 species
CCCUUAGAUGUUCUGGGCUGCACGCGCGCUACACUGAAGCGUUCAACGAGUAUUUCACCUUGCCCGGGAGGGUUGGGUAAUCUUUUUAAAACGCUUCGUGAUGGGGAUAGAUUAUUGCAAUUAUUAAUCUUCAACGAGGAAUUCCUAGUAAGCGCGAGUCAUCAGCUCGUGCUGAUUACGUCCCUGCCCUUUGUACACACCGCCCGUCGCUCCUACCGAUUGGGUGAUCCGGUGAAUAAUUCGGACUGCAGCAGUGCUUGGUCCUCCGGGCUUUGCAGCGGAAAGUUUAGUGAACCUUAUCACUUAGAGGAAGGAGAANUCGUAACA